rnacentral:rRNA from 1 species
CGUGCUUAACACAUGCAAGUCGAACGAUGAUCUCCAGCUUGCUGGGGGGAUUAGUGGCGAACGGGUGAGUAACACGUGAGUAACCUGCCCUUAACUCUGGGAUAAGCCUGGGAAACUGGGUCUAAUACCGGAUAUUUACUUCUCGCCGCAUGGUGGGUGGUGGAAAGCUUUUGCGGUUUUGGAUGGACUCGCGGCCUAUCAGCUUGUUGGUGAGGUAAUGGCUCACCAAGGCGACGACGGGUAGCCGGCCUGAGAGGGUGACCGGCCACACUGGGACUGAGACACGGCCCAGACUCCUACGGGAGGCAGCAGUGGGGAAUAUUGCACAAUGGGCGAAAGCCUGAUGCAGCGACGCCGCGUGAGGGAUGACGGCCUUCGGGUUGUAAACCUCUUUCAGUAGGGAAGAAGCGAAAGUGACGGUACCUGCAGAAGAAGCGCCGGCUAACUACGUGCCAGCAGCCGCGGUAAUACGUAGGGCGCAAGCGUUAUCCGGAAUUAUUGGGCGUAAAGAGCUCGUAGGCGGUUUGUCGCGUCUGCCGUGAAAGUCCGGGGCUCAACUCCGGAUCUGCGGUGGGUACGGGCAGACUAGAGUGAUGUAGGGGAGACUGGAAUUCCUGGUGUAGCGGUGAAAUGCGCAGAUAUCAGGAGGAACACCGAUGGCGAAGGCAGGUCUCUGGGCAUUAACUGACGCUGAGGAGCGAAAGCAUGGGGAGCGAACAGGAUUAGAUACCCUGGUAGUCCAUGCCGUAAACGUUGGGCACUAGGUGUG